AGAGUUUGAUCCUGGCUCAGGAUGAACGCUAGCGGCAGGCUUAAUACAUGCAAGUCGAGGGGCAUCAAGGUACACGAAAGUGUAUUGUUGGCGACCGGCGGACGGGUGAGUAAUAGGUAGGUAACCUACCUCAUACUGAGGCAUAGCUGGGAGAAAUUCCAGGUAAUUCCUCAUGAGGUUAUAUGACACAUGUGAUAUAAUCAAAGGUAUCGCAAGGUACUGGUAUGAGAUGGGCUUACUGACCAUUAGCUAGUUGGUGAGAUAAGAGCUCACCAAGGCGAAGAUGGUUAGGGGUUUUGAGAGAGAGAUCCCCCACAUUGGAACUGAGAUACGGUCCAGACUCCUACGGGAGGCAGCAGUAGGGAAUAUUGGGCAAUGGGCGGAAGCCUGACCCAGCCAUGCCGCGUGAAGGAAGACGGCCUUAUGGGUUGUAAACUUCUUUACUAUGCGACUAACUAGAUUUACGAGAUAAUUCUAUAGAAUGUAGCAUAGCAAAAAGCACCGGCUAACUCCGUGCCAGCAGCCGCGGUAAUACGGAGGGUGCGAGCGUUAUUCGGAAUUACUGGGUUUAAAGGGUGCGUAGGCGGCUAAGUAAGUUGUCAUUGAAAAGCUACAGCUCAACUGUAGUAGUGGUGGCGAUACUGCUUAGCUAAGAACAUGGGAGGGGUACUUGGAAUGUGUGGUGUAGCGGUGAAAUGCGUAGAUAUCACACAGAACACCAGAGGCGAAGGCGGAGUACUAGACCAUAGUUGACGCUGAGGCACGAAAGCGUGGGGGAUCAAACAGGAUUAGAUACCCUGGUAGUCCACGCCCUAAACGAUGAUCACUAGAUAUUGGCGACAAACAGUCAGUGUCCAAGCGAAAGUGAUAAGUGAUCCACCUGGGGACUACGGCCGCAAGGUUAAAACUCAAAGGAAUUGACGGGGGCCCGCACAAGCGGAGGAGCAUGUGUUUANNCGAUGGUACGCGAGGAACCUUACCUGGGUUAGAACGUAUGAGCGAUGCAGCUGAAAGGUUGCAGGCCUGG
rnacentral:rRNA from 1 species